rnacentral:tRNA from 2 species
GCUUUGGUGGCUCAGUCGGUAGAGCGUCAGUCUCAUAAUCUGAAGGUCAUGAGUUCGAUCCUCAUCCAGAGCA